CAGUCGCCACGGGAACACGGAGGGGGCUAGCGUUGUUCGGAAUUACUGGGCGUAAAGCGCACGUAGGCGGCUUUGUAAGUUAGAGGUGAAAGCCUGGAGCUCAACUCCAGAAUUGCCUUUAAGACUGCAUCGCUUGAAUCCGAGAGAGGUGAGUGGAAUUCCGAGUGUAGAGGUGAAAUUCGUAGAUAUUCGGAAGAACACCAGUGGCGAAGGCGGCUCACUGGCUCGGUAUUGACGCUGAGGUGCGAAAGCGUGGGGAGCAAACAGGAUUAGAUACCCCGGUAGUCCCUGUCUCUUAUAC
rnacentral:rRNA from 1 species